AUUGAACGCUGGCGGCAUGCUUUACACAUGCAAGUCGAACGGUAACUGGCCGCAAGGUGCUGACGAGUGGCGAACGGGUGAGUAAUGCAUCGGAACGUGCCCAGUCGUGGGGGAUAACGCAGCGAAAGCUGUGCUAAUACCGCAUACGAUCUGUGGAUGAAAGCGGGGGACCGAAAGGCCUCGCGCGAUUGGAGCGGCCGAUGUCAGAUUAGGUAGUUGGUGGGGUAAAGGCUCACCAAGCCAACGAUCUGUAGCUGGUCUGAGAGGACGACCAGCCACACUGGGACUGAGACACGGCCCAGACUCCUACGGGAGGCAGCAGUGGGGAAUUUUGGACAAUGGGCGCAAGCCUGAUCCAGCAAUGCCGCGUGCAGGAAGAAGGCCUUCGGGUUGUAAACUGCUUUUGUACGGAGCGAAAAGGCUCUCUCUAAUACAGGGGGCUCAUGACGGUACCGUAAGAAUAAGCACCGGCUAACUACGUGCCAGCCGCCGCGGUAACAC
rnacentral:rRNA from 1 species